UUUAUCGGAGAGUUUGAUCCUGGCUCAGGACGAACGCUGGCGGCGUGCCUAAUACAUGCAAGUCGAGCGAACAGAUGGGAGCUUGCUCCCUGAUGUUAGCGGCGGACGGGUGAGUAACACGUGGGUAACCUGCCUGUAAGACUGGGAUAACUCCGGGAAACCGGGGCUAAUACCGGAUGGUUGUUUGAAC
rnacentral:rRNA from 1 species